GGGUAGGACGGAGUCGGGGUGUCUGGCGGGACCUCGCCGGCACCCGCUGUCGCCGGGCGCUGUCCCCGCUGCGCUGAGCCGGGUGGUGCGCCCGGGAGCGGGGCGCAGAGUCUCCCCUGGGCUUCCUCCCCUUGGCCCGAGGAUUUGACAUCAAACGCGCCGCUCCCAUUCGGCCGGGGCCAGCGGACCGAACGGCCGCAGGACUUGGUUAAUAAAGGGCCCCAUUCUCGGGCCUCUAAGUAGACUUUUUGUUUCUGAUCAUUCUUAUCCUGAAAAGACUCUAAAUGACAUGAUGAGCGGACCCUUGGCUGGGUCGCUGAGUCCGCCCGGCUCCCGGAAGCCCGGUCGCCUCCGUGCCAGCGGCGCCCCCUAGAGGCGAGCGGCGCCUUAAUCGUGACCAACGUGAGCGUCUCUGGGCUAAUGCGCAGGGCAGUUCUCCGCUGCGCCAUUGUUCCCACUUAAACAGGGAGGGUGAAGGGGGGGGGGGGCGUAAAUAACUUGCCCGGUCGUAAGACGUACAACUCCCGCUCAUGGUCAAAACCAUCAGUUCCCAUUUUUAGCAGAAAAUACUUGAGUCGGUGGCUAGAAAUGUGUGCAUUUCCUAUGCAAAUUCAUGUCAAGAUUCUCAAUAUGUUGAAGGGCAAUUAGCUGGAUAUAAAAUAAAACAGCCCAGCCUAGGCUAGGCCAUGGGACUUAACAUCGAUGCAUCUCAGGGACCCAGUGCUGUGAAGGGAGAGGAACGGCUUCACUUCUCUGUUACCAAGGUUCCCGGUUUCCAUGGCAACCCUACAUCCGGAGUUAUUGGGAUAAUUGAGAUACUACCGGUGCCUUAACGUUUCCAGGUACCUGAGGGUCUCCAGGUAUCAUCACUGCAUGGGCCAGCGACAGGGUCUACACGGCUGAAACAACCAGGUGCAGAGGGGAUACUGAAUUCAUCCCGGUGGCUUCUCAGUGUAUAUUCAGGCCCCAUCAGCAACCACAGAUGAUAGGUCAAGCAGAGUUUCACAAAUGGAAUACAGAUCCACCCUCCAGGCCCAGAAAAGCAGCAAAACCAGACCAGCGACCCCAUGGCUGCCUCAGGACCAGCUGCAUUGAGGAAGGACCCCCUGCCCUGGUGCCAGCCGAGGUCAAUCAGCUCUGAAAGGACACACCUGGAAAGUUGCUGAAUAUCCCUUCCAUUAGGAGCUCCUGGGAUCUCCCUCAGAUCUCCACCCUUAAAGCCCUAGGACUGAGGACCCAGUGCGCUUGCUCUCCCUCCUGGGAGCUGCCAGAACCUUUCCCUUUUCCUGUUCCCUCCCCAUUCACGCUCCCCCCCACCCCCACCCCCCAGGCUUGUUACCAUUAUCAUUACCUUCCUCACUCCCAAGCUCCCAGGGCUCUUCCUUUAACUCCUGACUCCUUUCCUCAGCCCGUCUCUUCUACGAAUGACUUCCUCUGCCUCUGUGACUUUAGAAAUAAAUAUUCUCUUCUAGUUGAGUCUUGGCUCUGAAUUCUUUCCCAGACAGAACCCAAGUACCGAGGUUGCUGAACCCAAGUCCAGUCUGACCCUAUGGGUCUAAGACCCAGUGCCAUCGGCGCCGCCUGCGAGGGAAGAAAAGAUGAUUCUGGAACCUACAUCAUCAGGCUGGAAUGGACACUGGACACAGAACCAACUCAAUCGUCAACAUACAGUUGGAGGUGGUUUCCCAUGCAAGCUAAACAGACGUCCUGGUCUGGGCGGUCUGAUGUAUUCACUCAGCAAACAGUGUCACCUGCUGAGAAGACAAAGGCUGAUGCCGCCGGGCAGCCCCCUUGGGCUCUCCCCCAAGUGGAAACUCAGGGAUCCCGUCGGCUCACACCUUUGAAGCCACCGUCUUUACGUAGGACCCUCGGGUCCUGAUGGAAGAGGCACAGGAGCACCGAGGGUCCUGCAAGGAGCUUCAUGGACGAGCCCAGGAGGCGCUCCCACCCCUUCUGCCCACUUUCCCUCAGUCUGGACCCAGUGAAAUGGCAGCCUAACUGCAAGGGAGGCUGGGAAAUACCCCUCCCAUGUGCCAGGCAGCGGGCACGAGGCCGGGAUGUCUCACCUUGCCCAGCUCUGCUAUAGCGUGUCUAGACAGACCAACCAUCGCCUGUGGCUUCACCCAACUGUUUGGUUAAUACGGCAUUUCAUCCAAUACUCACAGAUGCCUGGCAGCGUGGAGACGAAGCCUUCAGGUCAGCUGACUGGUGAUGGCAUCAUAUUGACGCGGUCACAGACUGCUUCUGCAGCCCCGGCCAACGUGCCCGGCCGGUGCGCACAGUCCAGUGGUAAUUUCCUAGGAAUAAAAAGGCUCCGUUUCGGGACGAGGAUAACAUGCGUCCUAAAGUGAUUUGUGACUGGGGAUUUGUUUUGACUUUCUUUUCUAAUAGUUUAAGAAAGAACCAGGCAGGCCUGGCCGGCGUGGCUCAGUGGUUGAGCGUCGACCUAUGAACCAGGAGGUCACGGUUCCAUUCCUGGUCAGGGCACAUGUCUGGGUUGCGGGCUCGAUCCCCAGUGUGGGGCGUGCAGGAGGCAGCCCAUCAAUGAUUCUCUCUGGUUUUCUCAUCAUCAGUGAAGACUGAGGGUUUUGAGGCGAUGAAAUACAAUAGUAAAUGUAUAAUCGCCCGUCUAUAGUGUGACUCUAAGGCCCACAGGCAGGGACUGUCUGAGGUCACUCCCCAUCGGCUGGUGUGGAAAGAGGCCUGUGACAUGCAUUCUCUCUCCCUUCCUUUCUGGAAUCAAUAAAAAUAUAUUUUUUUAAAAAAGAGAGAAAGAACGAGGCAGACGGUCAUUUAUAAACAGAGCACGGCCACCUUGCUGACCUCUUAAAUGCCUGGACACACCUUGUGGCCCUGAUGGCCAAGGGCACCAGGCUCCUCUCUGUGGAUCCGGCCACACCCUGGGUGGGUGGGGAGGGAGUCGCCAAAGGUGACCCCCAGGCCAGCUCUCCAGCCUGUUUCACCUCCAGCACCGGCACACCCAGCUCAGUCGGCCCCUCCAGGGGCUCUAGCCUCCUACUGGGGAGAGCUUGGUCUGGGGUCGGGGGCUUCGCCGUGCCUCCUGGUAGGAAGGGGUGGCCGGCGCUGGCAGAGUCUGGUGGAGUUUUUACCAUUUAAAGGGGAGUGUGGUCAGUGAUGCACUUGUGCCCUCUCUAUAUCCCUUUGAGGUUGAAAAUAUUUACUCUUGUAUUCAGCGAGGGAAUGUCUGUGAACUGCCUCCUGGUGCCUCACAUGCGAAAGAAUGUCCAUCGCUCUGCUUAUAAAAGGCCUUCUGCCUGGUUGGCGUCUUGUUGGUCAUCUCACUGAGGUGCCCCCACCACCCCCCGAAAUGCACAUUUGUUGAUCAUCUUUCUGGUCUCGGGUCCUUGCACUGAAAGAGAAUGAGGGGCAGGCCUGUUCCCACUGAGAACCCCUCUCACUCCAGAACCUGCCGGCUCCUAACUUUUUCUCCCGCUGAUGUCAGCGUGGCCAACCCCCAGAUUCCAGUGACUUCUUUCCCAAUGCCUCCCACUUGGCACUCCUUGAAAAAUAGUCGGAGGCAGGCUGAGUACCGGAGUGUUUUGGAAUGCUCUUCAGUAAAUCGAUGAAUACCAUGAGAAUGUUUGCGUGAAGGACGUAUCACGACACAGGGAGUGGGCGCUCUCUUUGACUGUGUUGUUCACACACCUGCUUCCCAGGGCGCAGCGUACCUUCCUUCCCGGAAACAAAAUGGUCCCUCUUCUGCUCCUGCGGCCCCAGCCCGGCCAAGAUUCACCGACUGGGCAAGAAAUGAAAGCCACGAUGUCUUUGAACUUAACUGUUUUAUGUGUUUUCGUAACAUGAUGGUCUGGGACAUCUGUCUUUGCUUAAAAGCUCAUCUAUUUAUAUCAACAAGCGUUUACAUUGGGCCCCUGGACACGGAGUCACACAGACGUAGCACGAUGUGGGCUUUGACUACAAUCCACUUUGAAAAAUAUGUGGCAUUUGCUUCGAACCCACUCCUUCCCCAAUAAAGUUAAAUCCCAGAAAUUUGUAAACUGUACAGCUCCGUGUACGCAAAAGACAUCCUUUUAGCUUUUGCAUAACACGUGACUCAUGUGAUUGUUGUGAUGGUUGAGCGAGUGAGUCAUUUUCGUACUAGGAGGUCUGGAGGGCUGUGGGCCGGGGGAGCCAACUGGCUUAGAAGGCUGGCAAUGGGAUUACUCAUUCAAACAGAGACCCGUGGAGGCUGGGAGCCACGGCCCAGAUGUUUACAGAAGCACUGCCUGGGCGUGGAGCACGGAGCGGGGGCAAAUUGGAAGUGGGUGGGGAAGACGGGGUUGGUGUUAUGGAGCACAGCAAUGCUAAUGCGUGAGACUCUGAAGGACAACUGAGGAGGAGAAACCCAGGCUGAAACCACACUCCACCGAAUUCUCUGCCCGCUCUGCCCAUCCCACCCAUUGGUGGCACACAGGAAAUGUAACCCUACCCAGCAUGUAUUUGUCCGUAUUUGUGCCUAACCAGAGUUCAUUUUGAUGGAAUACAAUUUGUGAAGUCAUUUCUUCUUUAGUCUAUGAACUGACAUCCGUAAGUUAUAUACUCAGGGAACUCUUU